AUAUGUUGACAAAGCCUAUAGAUCUGUUAAUGUUAAAUCAACUGAAAGAGUCAUAUUGCGAAAUCAGAGAGGGGCAACUUGAUGCUAUUGCAGUAGUUCAUUCUUACGAGGAUAAAGCGGCACCUGGAUCUCACAGGACAAGGCUUACUUCUCUCAAUGUUCCUCCCAUGGGGUUGGUCUAUCCAAUGCUUUUUGUUCCUGACGUGUAUCCUCCUCCACCACGGACUUGGUUUAGUGACUACGAGGAUAUGCUAGAAGAUACAUGGCAUAUUGACUUUUCCCGAAGAUUUGACUUGGUUAUAACUGUGAAUGGAAAGAAGGAGAAAAUUGCUUCAGGUUUGCUCAAUCCAUUUCUUUCUCACUUGAAAGCGGCUCAAGAUCAAAUGGACAAGGGUGGUUAUUCAAUUGUUCUUGAGCCGGAUGAUGGAAGUGAUUCCACAUGGUUUACCAAAGGAACUCUUGAAAGGUUUGUACGCUUUGUAAACACUCCUGAGAUAUUGGAACGUGUGUAUACUACAGAAGCUGAAAUCUUACAAAUCGAAGAGGCAAUUGCAAGUCAAGGAAAUAACUCGAUAGGGAUUAGCACUGUGGAAGAAAACCAAGUAAAACAUGCAGAAAACACAAGGCAGGAAGACUCAACAUGAUACGAACGAGGAGAAAGCGAUUGUACUUGAGUUGAUUUGAUAACAGAUGGAUUGUGUCUGGGAAGGAAGAAUAUAAUGGAAAAAUUUAGAUGCAGAUACAUGGAAGUGAACAUAGCAGGACUUUCAAAGUUAUGGAUACAUCAACAUACAAAUAUAAGAAAAGGAUUUUUAUUUUAUGUGAAAAUUCAAAUAUAGAAAAUAAU